CCGUAUUCCGUUUCAUAUACAUGGAGCUUGUUUUGGAUAGGGAUCUCAGCCCAAAAUCAGUCCAUAAAAUGCUCUUAUUGGAGAUGAGGUCAAGCUGACUCUCGAGUAUCUGUGAGUCAGGUGGAAUAAGCCUGAGGAUAAAUGGGAAAAGGCUAACAUAACCAAGAUGAGGAACCAGUUGUAGAACAGGUUUUUCUAGGACUUCUCGUAUGAACUCUCGCCUUGGGUAGUUGCUUCCAGUCUCCACUAUUUUCCAAGUUAAUUGAACCUUCUCUGUAUGAUUUCCAUAAUCACAAUAAGCUCCAUUUGCAGUGUCUAAGUGCAUCUUGUUAAGAAGUUUAAAAUCUGAGAGAAGCUUUGCAGUUGAACUAUACUCCUUUUUGAUAUCUUUAUCCAUCUUCAGAAGCUCCGCUAUUGAGUGCAUGGAAUCUGCUGCAAGAUGCAUCCAGCAUCUAAGAUCCACAUGACGUUCAUCUUCACUUGGGUGAGAUGCACGUGGAUAAUCAUCCAGUCCAGAAGAUAAGGUCUUAGGAUUUAGUUCACGGAUCGUUGCAGUAUCUCUUCCAUGCCAGUAAUAGCUACCCAUUUCCUUUCCGGCUUGAGUUGUGUUAAACCAUUUGUCCGCCUCGAAGCAUGGUUCAAAUGGUUUAACACAACUCA
rnacentral:misc_RNA from 1 species